UACGUAGGGGGCAAGCGUUGUCCGGAAUCAUUGGGCGUAAAGCGCGCGUAGGCUGCCAGAUAAGUCCGGUGUGAAAGUCAAAGGCUCAACCUUUGAAUGCCGCUGGAAACUGUCUGGCUAGAGUCCGGAAGGGCGAGUGGAACUCCUGGUGUAGCGGUGAAAUGCGCAGAUAUCAGGAGGAACACCCGGUUGGCGAAGGCGGGUUCUCUGGGGCGAUGGA
rnacentral:rRNA from 1 species